rnacentral:lncRNA from 1 species
AGAAAGAUCUCACAGUAGUGAUGAAUCAAAGCUUCGUUAUCCUUCAACCAGAAAAAUAGGUUUAGUUCUUCAUAGAGAGAAGAGAAAAAUUAGAUCUAGGGUUUCUUUCUUUUUCUCCAAUCCAAAUCCUCUUUUUCACAAUAGAUUCCUCCCUUAAAUACUUUCUCUCUCUUCUCUUUUAGAAUUCUAUUUAAAAUAAAAUCCUAAUAUCUGAAAUAUUAAAUUCGUAAUUACAAAAAUAACCAAAAAUACAAAACACGUUAAACUAAAAACUGCAGGUCCGCAGUUGACAGCACGCGCCCACGCCUUAUCAACAAAGUUCUUCU